rnacentral:rRNA from 1 species
UACAUGGGGUGCAAACGUUGCUCGGAAUUAUUGGGCGUAAAGCGCGCGUAGGCGGUCUUUUAAGUCGGAUGUGAAAGCCCUCGGCUCAACUGGGGAAGUGCACCCGAAACUGAAAGGCUUGAGUACCAAAGAGGGUCGCGGAAUUCCCGGUGUAGAGGUGAAAUUCGUAGAUAUCGGGAGGAACACCGGUGGCGAAGGCGGCGACCUGGGUGGAUACUGACGCUGAGGCGCGAAAGCGUGGGGAGCAAACAGG